UGUAUGGAGAGUUUGAUCCUGGCUCAGGACGAACGCUGGCGGCGUGCUUAACACAUGCAAGUCGAACGGAAAGGCCCUGCUUGCAGGGUGCUCGAGUGGCGAACGGGUGAGUAACACGUGGGUGAUCUGCCCCUUAUUUUGGGAUAAGCCUGGGAAACUGGGUCUAAUACUGGAUAGGACCAUGCUGUAGGUGGUGUGGUGGAAAGAUUAGUUUCGGUAAGGGAUGAGCUCGCGGCCUAUCAGCUUGUUGGUGGGGUAAUGGCCUACCAAGGCGUCGACGGGUAGCUACGGGAGGCAGCAGUGGGGAAUAUUGCACAAUGGGCGCAAGCCUGAUGCAGCGACGCCGCGUGGGGGAUGACGGCCUUCGGGUUGUAAACUCCUUUCAGCCAUGACGAAGCCCUUGUGGUGACGGUAGUGGUAGAAGAAGCACCGGCUAACUACGUGCCAGCAGCCGCGGUAAUACGUAGGGUGCGAGCGUUGUCCGGAAUUACUGGGCGUAAAGAGCUCGUAGGUGGUCUGUCGCGUCAUUUGUGAAAGCCCGGGGCUUAACUCCGGGUUGGCAGGUGAUACGGGCAUGACUGGAGUACUGUAGGGGAGACUGGAAUUCCUGGUGUAGCGGUGAAAUGCGCAGAUAUCAGGAGGAACACCGGUGGCGAAGGCGGGUCUCUGGGCAGUAACUGACGCUGAGGAGCGAAAGCGUGCCGUAGCUAACGCAUUAAGCGCCCCGCCUGGGGAGUACGGCCGCAAGGCUAAAACUCAAAGGAAUUGACGGGGGCCCGCACAAGCGGCGGAGCAUGUGGAUUAAUUCGAUGCAACGCGAAGAACCUUACCUGGGCUUGACAUGCACUGGAUGCGGCCAGAGAUGGUUGUUCCCUUUGUGGCUGGUGUGCAGGUGGUGCAUGGUUGUCGUCAGCUCGUGUCGUGAGAUGUUGGGUUAAGUCCCGCAACGAGCGCAACCCUUGUCUCGUGUUGCCAGCAUUUGGUUGGGGACUCGCGGGAGACUGCCGGGGUUAACUCGGAGGAAGGUGGGGAUGACGUCAAAUCAUCAUGCCCCUUAUGUCCAGGGCUUCACACAUGCUACAAUGGCUGGUACAGAGAGUUGCGAUACCGUGAGGUGGGGCUAAUCUCGUAAAGCCAGUCUCAGUUCGGAUUGGAGUCUGCAACUCGACUCCAUGAAGUCGGAGUCGCUAGUAAUCGCAGAUCAGCAAUGCUGCGGUGAAUACGUUCCCGGGCCUUGUACACACCGCCCGUCACGUCAUGAAAGUUGGUAACACUCGAAGCCGGUGGCCUAAACUCGUUAGGGAGCCGUCGAAGGUGGGAUUGGCGAUUGGGACGAAGUCGUAACAAGGUAGCCGUACCGGAAGGUGCGGCUGGAUCACCUCCUUU
rnacentral:rRNA from 1 species